GAGAAGGUGGAGAGCAGAGUGAUCUACUUACUGAGAAGGUGGAGAGCAGAGUGAUCUACUGGACUUACUGAGAAGGUGGAGAGCAGAGUGAUCUACUGGACUUACUGAGAAGGUGGAGAGCAGAGUGAUCUGCUUACUGAGAAGGUGGAGAGCAGAGUGAUCUACUGGACUUACUGAGAAGGUGGAGAGCAGAGUGACGGCAUCCGUCUUGUUCACAGACUUCACUGUAGUCAGG